CCUACGGGAGGCUGCAGUGGGGAAUAUUGCACAAUGGGCGCAAGCCUGAUGCAGCCAUGCCGCGUGUGUGAAGAAGGCCUUCGGGUUGUAAAGCACUUUCAGCGGGGAGGAAGGCGUUAAGGUUAAUAACCUUGGCGAUUGACGUUACCCGCAGAAGAAGCACCGGCUAACUCCGUGCCAGCAGCCACGGUAAUACGGAGGGUGCAAGCGUUAAUCGGAAUUACUGGGCGUAAAGCGCACGCAGGCGGUCUGUCAAGUCGGAUGUGAAAUCCCCGGGCUCAACCUGGGAACUGCAUUCGAAACUGGCAGGCUAGAGUCUUGUAGAGGGGGGUAGAAUUCCAGGUGUAGCGGUGAAAUGCGUAGAGAUCUGGAGGAAUACCGGUGGCGAAGGCGGCCCCCUGGACAAAGACUGACGCUCAGGUGCGAAAGCGUGGGGAGCAAACAGGAUUAGAUACCCGAGUAGUC
rnacentral:rRNA from 1 species